UGCCCGGGGCAAGUGCCGGCAUGCAUCAUCACCUUCAAUGACCCCAGUUAAGGUGGUGGGAAUUGACACAUGGAUUCUUCACACUCGGCUGAAGCUUUGGACGCCUCCUGAAGAAAGUCAUAAACCCUCCGCUCCACCACCUGAAGUUCCAAGAGACGACUCUCUGUACACCUGCGAGCCGUUCGAGGAUCUGCAUCUCCUCUUACAACAAUAUCCCCAGGAAAGUAACGGCUCAUGCGUCUAAUUUACAUCCUCGCAUUAACAGGACUGUAACUCUUAACUUUGCUAUCACUCAAACUGCAAUUAUUCCUUUCAUGGAGUAGAGGGAGGGGUCAAAAACAUAGAAAAACUUGGUGCUGGCAUUAGAAAAGUUACUACCUCUAUUCAGUUACUAUAAGCUGUCUCAGGAAUUAAUAACAUAAAAGUGUUGCUAAUGUUCUCUGCAAAGGCAGCUCACUCUGCAAAACAGCUUCACUCUUUGGCUGCCUUAGCUCUUCAGGGUAAAAGGACCCUAAAUCUACUAACAACAGGAAGAGAGGAAAUCUGCCUCUUUCUAGAAAGAAAUGCUGCUACUUUGCAAAAAGUGCUGUUUUAAACAAAGUUAAAGAACUCGGGAAUCAAUCAAACACAGAGCUAAAAACCUUCAAGAAAUAGUGCUUAUUUAACAACUGGCUGUCCUGACUAUAUCCUCUCCUAGGUCGGUCUAUAGCCAUUCUAUAAUUAUUGCCUCUGGGCUUUUUAUCUUUAACCUUCUUGUCACAUUCCUUUCUUCUAGAGCCAUAAGGUCAUAAAUAAUCCUACAAUUGGAACCCUGGAUGUCUUGACUCAUGAGCUCUAUCAUGGACAUCAGGAUCAACGUCCGCCCUGGAAAGACUUCCCUCUGGAGGAAACCUCAACUGCAGGGCCCCUUCCAUGCCCCAUUUCAGCAGGAAGCAGCUAAAGAGCAACCGAUGCCCGUGUCCAAACAGCAGUUGGACUUUCCUGUUUAAAGUGGGGGACUGAGGGAAUGUAUUCUCUUCCUGGGUGCCCAAGGGGGCAUAGUUUCAAAGGCAAGAACUUCCUAGUCCUGUACACCCCCACCGCAUGUCUCCAUCUGGGAUCUUAGAGGUCUUUGUUUAACUUUCACCUGUGUAGGAAAGACUCAAAGGUCAACCAUUCCAGCAGAAGUUUAAAAAAACUCCUACCAUAGGACAGAAAAUUUGAAUGGGGCAGGAAGCUCUCCCAGGUUAAAAGUUCCCUUCUUCCACUACUUUGUGAAAGCUGCUUUUCUUUCUUUGUUUACUCUUUCUCUGCCUAAAUAAAUCACUUUCUGCAAAACUCUUUGGGGUCAACUAUUUACUUAUGAGCACACUGCUCCCAGCGUGGUCUGCCUUCCCAUUCUUGGGUGAGUGAGGGACCAAGGGCCUGGAAGAACACUUCCUA
rnacentral:lncRNA from 1 species